CAAUUAGAGAACAUGUAAACAUGAACAUGUACUUUUUUUUUGGUUUGUGUAUUUGAUUAAGCCAAGCCUGGGACAGAUGGCAUCUAAACUGGAGUAAUAUGGUGUAAACAAUCCCCUUGCCCUUUCUUGUAUGCCCUUCCCUUUCUCUAGAACUUCUUCUCAGAGUUCUAACUUAGCUUCUGAUGUAGCUGACAGAAUUUCUUCUCUCUCGUUCCCACCACAGUAUAUAUCUGUUGAAUUGUUGAACGGGAUUAUGUCAGAAGCAUUAAUUGGAAAUCAUCACUCUGUAGAGAACAACAAAAACACAAAAUCUCAUGACCAAGGAAGAGCCAAAGAGCUUGUCUGGAUUUCUUGACCUCACCUCUCAGAAUGUUGACAAUGAACUACAACGAAAACACAACCAUGGCAACAAAUUACAUAUUUGUUGAAUCAGGCCAAGACACAGAAAUAUACUGUAUGCCAAAAUGUAAAGGUGACAUGAGUGAUCAAAAGAGAGGGAAAGUGAAAGGUCAAGGGAGAAACUCUCAGCAUGUAGGUACGGAACCAUUUCCAUGAGGUCAGCUACAUUCCAAAGCGGCUGCGGCACUGGAUGGGGAGCUGUCGGGGCAUGAUGCACAGCCCAAGACAGUCUUUGAAGGUGAGGAAUCUGAGGCACACAGAGACGAAAAACUGUCCAGGCAGUUGAGUCAGAAUUCAAAUGUUGGCUGUCUUCGUCUGGAACCCACACUUUCUACCUUCCUCUUGUGUUAUGGCUGGAUGUAUGACCUUGUCAUGUACGUAAAACAUCCGCAGACUAACUGGAAAAGGACUUUACCUCAGCCAAAGUGAGUGCAUUGCAGAAUAAGUGCAGAGAGCUUACCUUGGUUUUUAAAGAUAUUCCAAUCCGUUUUAAUUGGGGAUCUCAUUGCAAUGUGCUCCUAUGUCUUGAGACAGGGCCUUCAAGAGGAUCAGUAUUUCCAGAAUGUUGGUAUUAGCAUCCAUUUUUUGCUGGCUAGAUAUUUUCCAACAGAGGAUGUGACUCUCAUCAUUACAGCAGAGGAAUACAUUUACCAAAGUCAAGGAAGUCAUUUGCCAUCCGGAUGGCCCAAGAAGCAUACAUAUUUAUCAUUGAGCCUUGGAAGAACUCUCUAUUAUAAAAAGAUUGGCUAAUUUCUGAAAACCACUCCUUCAAUAAGGACCCAGGUUAUGUGCCAUGGUAUCUGUAGCUUUCUGGCUGGGUCAGGGUGACCUGCACACAACCCUGGCAGGAUGCCCUUGGACAGAGUAUUUGCAUCCCUUUGGUGUGCCAAUGUAUCAAGCAUUCACAGGUCACAUUGAAACACUAAAGUACGAGCUGCGCAAAGAGGUCAUCAGUAGGCAUUGUUUCUCCAGAGGGGAAUAAUCUUACAACUGUUAUGAAGGGUCAAAGGUAACUUUCAUUUUGAGAUGCUAAUUACUCCAAGAAUUUGAUGCAGGAGACAGCUGGUUAAAAUGAAUGAGCGCUGCAGUGUUGAAGGGGAAAAACAAAUAGAGGGUUAUAAUAAAAGUGCAAUAUGCAACAUAGUAAGUAUGCAGAAAAUAAGGGACAAUAUUGUUAAUAAACAUCCGUUAGUCAAUAUGAUCUUUGUAGAGCUGGGCUCUUUAUUAUUAUACCUGCUAAUCACAUGCAAUUAAAUUUAAAUUUAAGGUGGUUAAGGUUAGAAAUUCAGGUCCUCAGCCACAUAGGCCACACACAAAGUGUUCAAUAGCCACACGUGGCCAUUGACUACCAUAUUGGAGAGCCCAGAUAUAGAACAUUUUCAUUACCACAGAAAUUUCUAUAGGACACCAAUGACCUGGCGUGUUUUGCUAUUGGAGGGAUUUUAGACUUAGUGCUUUUAUAUAGGAAACAUUAUUUUUUUUUUUUUUUUUUUUUUUUUUUGAGAUGGAGUCUUGCUCUGUCGCCCAGGCUGGGGUGCAGUGGCCGGAUCUCAGCUCACUGCAACCUCCAUCUCCCGGGUUUACGCCAUUCUCCUGCCUCAGCCUCCUGAGUAGCUGGGACUACAGGCGCCCGCCACCUCGCCCGGCUAGUUUUUUGUAUUUUUUAGUAGAGAUGGGGUUUCACCGUGUUAGCCAGGAUGGUCUCGAUAUCCUGACCUCGUGAUCCACCCGUCUCGGCCUCCCAAAGUGCUAGGAUUACAGGCUUGAGCCACCGCGCCCGGCCAGGAAACAUUAUUUAAAAAAAAAAAAAAAAAAACCGCCAUCCCAUGGAACGCUUCUCUCAUUCAGUUCUGUAGUAAGGGUUGCCCUAAAUUCACUUAUGCCCUAGAAAAUUCACUUAUCAUGAAUGAAAAAACUGUUACUACUAUUAAUAGUAUUUUUGUCCUGGUGAAUAUUUACAUUGUACCACAUACUGUGCUACAUGCUUUAUACAUAUUGUGUCAUUUAAUUCUUACCUUAGAGACUAAGAUCUAUCUGUGAAUUACUUUUAGAUAAAUCAGGUUGAGAGAAAAUAAAAACUGACCAUAGAUCACAAUUAAGUAAAUAUAUUUAAACCUAAGGCAAUUAUUGCUCUUUGAGUGUGUGUGUGUGUGUGUGUGUGUGUGUGUGUAACUGGCAGCCCAGUGUUACUGAGAUAACUACACAGAAUUAAGCAAUAAACUCUGCCAGAGCCUGGGGAUAUGAGGACAAGAAUACAGAUGAUUAUCAGAGACAAGGGAAAGAAAGAGAAAGUGAGAGGUAUUUGAGGAUUCACUAAAGAGGCUGAGAUAUAGUAGAAAUAGUUGAGGAGCCUCAGAAAUUUCAUUGUAAGAUCCAGGCAAGCAUGAAGAAAGGCUGCACUUAAGAGAUUUGUGGGUUCCCGGGCUAACUACAGAAAAGAGGAUUAGGGCAGCAAGACUGAUGUUGAAACCACUAAAUGGUCAUAUUAACAUCCUAGCAUCCUUCCAAGAUCAAGUUGGAUCCAGUGUAUAGAUGAAAGGAUUUAAGAACAUGAGGUUGGAUGUGGAUUGCUGUUUUCAAAGACUUGGACAAAAGAAAAGUCACAGCCUCUUAAUUUCUCUCAGUGAACUUCAGCUUAGCCAUUAAAUUUCAGAGGAAGCAGAUGGCACACAUUCAAUGUUCUGGGAUAUGACUGUACACAGUCAGACUAAGAAAAGGUCACAAAGAAAGAAAAAAAUAUAAGGAAUUGCUGAGUGUUGUAUAUCAAGAUGGUUGGUAAUGAAAAUACCCUGUCCUACUCAGUUUAUAGUAAAUUGCUUCUGUAUAAUUUAUUAAAAUCUCAGAACAUUAAGGAUUGCCAAGUCUUGAUUUAUUGCAGAAAAAUUUGCCAUGGUGUUUCCAUUUAGAAACUUAUUUCUUAACUUACACAAAGUAAAAAAAAAAAAAAAAAAAAACUCUUUAGCACCUGGUAUUAUUAGUGAGGUAUAACUGGGGUGACAAUAUAAUUUAUUGUCUAAAUAGAGACACUUUUGAGAAUGAAUGUAAUUAUUUAUAAUUACAGCAAAACCACAGGUGUAAUCCAGAACUGUCCAAGGCAAACCAGGGCAAACCAACAACCUAGGUAUAGACCACAGCUGGAUGCAAUUGGAUUCAAGCCAUUUUCCCAGUCCAGCUGCCGAAUAUGACUCAAAGGCUACUCUGCUGUCAGCUGAUUUACAAGCUGAUUGAAAUAAUGAUGCAAAGGCACAAUGAGGAAGAUGUCCAAUGCCCAUUUUAGGUAAAAAUAACUAGUGUAAAGAAAAAUACCAUUGGUCAUUGUUGUUGAGUUUUUAUUUUUAAAGAAACAGUGACUUGAUAAAAUACAACCAAGAAAAGAGAGUCUAAUAAGCAAUCUCUACUCAGCAUAGGAAGGCA
ensembl:lncRNA